AUUUGGAGCAGAGGAACCUGACAGAAGUUGGUGCCUCAGCUCUCUUUGACAUGAUGGAGUACUAUGAGUCCACCCCUUCUCCCCCACAUCUCCUUCAACAGGCACUUCAGCACUGUGGGCCAGUAGGUUGCUGCCCAGGUCUAGGCAGGAACACCUGUAAAAUGAUAGUGCAGGUGUCCUAAAGCCAGCUCAAGGAGGACAGAAACCUCAAUGAAUUCGAAACUCAUGAAGCAGAAGGGCUUGCUUGAUCUUCAUUUUCAGUAUAUGAAUACAGACAGUGGAAACAGGGCCUCAGAUCCUUGUGACCUUUUGGGUUUUAAGCAGGUGUCAGAAAAGUUACCAUAGGGAUAUCCUGGCUGGUGGCAGCCAGGUGUUCAUAGUGAGGUUGCUUUGUGAUCUUUCCAUGUUCAUUGUGAAGCAGAAUUCACCAAGCAUUGGAUUAUUCACCCACUAAUAGGGAAUGUGAGUUUGAAUUAGAUUAUGGUGGGACAGGUUAGUUUUACCCUACUGAUGAUGUGCUGUUGCCAUGGUAAUCCUGCUCAGUACAAGAGCAAACAUCCUGUCACUUUAAAUAAUCACAAUUCUGGAAUUCACUUUAACUUCAGAGAAGUGUUCUGAGCUUCACACUUAUGAAUUCUAUUUUGUUAAUGCUAUUGGAAUGAGAAGUUUAGCAAACUUAACUACAGUCAUCUUUAGAUAUUCAGAAUUUUGUUCCUAGAAGGAUUUUGGAGAUUAUCUGGCCUGAGGAUUAAACAGCAGCUACUCAGUGCCAAUCAAUUAUUGCCAGAAUGGAAGGAGGGCUCAGUGAUGCUGGAUCUUC
rnacentral:ncRNA from 1 species